GGAAUCUGCCUAGUGGUGGGGGAUAACGUUCGGAAACGGACGCUAAUACCGCAUACGUCCUACGGGAGAAAGCGGGGGACCUUCGGGCCUCGCGCCAUUAGAUGAGCCUAGGUCGGAUUAGCUAGUUGGUGAGGUAAAGGCUCACCAAGGCGACGAUCUCUAGCUGUUCUGAGAGGAAGAUCAGCCACACUGGAACUGAGAC
rnacentral:rRNA from 15 species